UAAUUAUAUGACCAGCACCGGUACAUACUGUAUAGUGUAGUUGCACAGUAUAGUAGCCUACGUAAUUUGGGGUACAACUAGUCUUUUUGUUCCUUGCUUGGGAAACCUGUUUGGCUCAACUAGAGAAAUUACACAAUUCACAAUUUGUGAUUGUAUUGGGGGCAUCAGUUAUGGGUUGAUUGUUUAUGAAUUAACUGCUGUAUAUUUCCAUCUCGAUGGAAGCCAUUUGCAGAUUUAACCGCUGAAUAAUAAAAUAAUAUUUUAUUAUUCAGUAUUUAAUGUUUUCAUUAUUAAUAUUAAUAUUAUAUAUUUUAUUUUUUGGCUACACAUAAGCAUUACCAAUGUUGGCUGAUAUAAUGUUGGCUGAUAUAAUCUGGGCCCCAUUUGACCAGGGCCCUUAUAAACGCAUGACAACGGCAGAUCCUGAAUCUGGAGGGAAGGUAGUUUCACAUAAAAGAGGUUCUUUUGUACACUCCCUUGUUUUCUUACUUAUUUACAUACUUGUUAUACUAAACUGUAAAAUAUUUCACACAUGCUUUAUAACUACAAUAUGUAAAUUUUCGCCACAGAGGUCGCCUAUUCAAAACAAAGACGUAGCUUGAUGACGCUGAGUUUGAGCGCAGAAUCUUGAGAGAUGUCGUCUUCACCUCACAGCCGGUGGAAAAGAAUCGGGACAGGACUCGUGCAGAAAUCAUAUUCAUGGAUGAGAUUAUUAACGUUACUGUAGUAUGAAGCAGAGCAGGGCAAAUGCUGCUGGAGCGGAAUGAGGCCGCUGGAGCGAUUGGUAAUGAGAGAUGAACGCAACACACGCCGCGAGAGCAGUGGAGCUCUUAUUAUGCCGCAAUCGACACUUCUACUUCUUCCGGUCAAUGAGGUAGCACCGUUCUGUUUAUUAUUAGAGACAUUUCACUGUGUUGAAAAUGAUGUUAUAAUGUUACUCUGUGUGUUCGCUCGGCAGCUGCUAUGAGAUACUUGUUGCGCACGAUUUUAGAAUAUCAUUAAUAAAUGCUGGGUUGCUUGUGUUGAAAUAUAAAUGGCAUGCAAUUAAUUUUAAAAAGUAUUGUAUGAUGGAGAAAAUGCUGUAUUAGCCAUUUGACAAAAUUGUUUUUCUCUGAGGCAUGGUAAAAGCAUGGUACUCUCAGAAAACUAGAUUUAAACAAUAAGACUAAACGUUUUGAGCUAUAUAACAAUAAUUCAUUUUCUGUCAAUAAAUGUAACCAAACAGUUGUUCCCUUGUCUAAUAAAACAUAUAUAUUAAAGCGUCUAUGGUGUUUCCAUGGUUUCUACAAAAUAAAACCAGAAACCGAGGGUAACGCAGAUAUGCAUUGACAUCGCAUAGAGUACCUCAGGGAUGACGUGUUUUUGUAGGCAAAACCCGGAAGCGAGUUAGCAUUUUAGGAUUUCCGGUUCCAUCGCCCCGAAGUCAAUGGGUUUUUUGCAUGUUUUUUUGCUAAAUUACCUGAAAUAAGGUCUGUGGUUAACAAAGCCUCUAAAUAUUUUCACGUUUUGAUCUAUGACAUAAAACACACCAGUUAUAACCCGCUUGUGAUUUUUUUUUAAACCUUUAUUGUGUCUUAAAAACGGCGAUUGCUAACAAAUUGCUACUUCCUUUGGCGGGGACUUUAGACAUCAUCAUGACAAACAGGACAUUUGGACAGCAUUUCUCAUGAAAAAGUGGGUAAGUAUUCAUACACAGCGCAGAUCAUAAUCAGCGAGCAUGUUUUUAAAUAAAGUUGUUUUUUAAAUAAAGUUUGUGGUGGUGACGUUGAUCCAUGACCAUGGUGUGCUGUAGUCCGUUUAUAGCCUACUUUUUAUAUCUGACGACUUUAUUUAGGCUUCAAAAUGUAUAAAUGUUGUGUUAACUUGUAAAGAUUACCUUGAUAGACAAAACGUGUAAUUGUCAUAACCCUUUGUUAAACACAGAGCUUAUUUUUUGCGAUUUUCCAAAAGUCUAUGGGAAAAAUGCAUAGGCUUUCGAUCGAGGGAACCCGUGUGCCGCUAACUUCCGGGUUGGCCUACAAAAACACGUCAUCCCCGAGGUACUCUAUUGACAGGCGACUCCUGGACACGUCCUGUAUCCUUGAUUUAAAAUCGUGAUUUUUCUCACAAUUUACAAAUAGUUGGAAACAUUUGGGAUAUUGUAAGUACUCAACUAAACAAAAUAUAUAACACUGGCCUAGUGGUUUUUGGAUAUUUUACAGCAAAAUUUUACAUAUUGUGCCUUCAACACAAAGAUUGUUUAGGCAUUACAGUUUUUACCAAUGUAAUUACAUUUUUGCUUGUGUUCUAGUUAAUCAUCAGAUGUGCUGUGUUGGUUCACACCAUGUCAUAAUUACCGUAAUUUCGAGAUGAUAACGUGACGCUCUGAGCUGUUAGACUGUCAUGGUUUCCGAUUAGUUCACACAUUUCACACAUCACCAUAUUUCGUAAAUGAUCAUUCUCAGUUGGUCCUGUGAAGUGACAUUGCGUAAUUAAUUUUUUAAAAAAAAUAAUAAUAAUAUUCCAUGUAAUCUCCCAGUUAACAUGAGGUAAUCAAAACUACAUUCACAAUAAUUAUAAAAGAAUGAGCACAAUGCUUUUUAAAAUAUUUUGAGAUGGAAUCUAGCAGGUAACACCACAGGAUUCCAGGAGAUCAUUUCUCAGUCUUGCCACAGAUGCUGAUCAUAGACAUACUGUAAGGUUGAAUAUACCACUGAAUAUUCCUUUGGAGUGUUCCAGAUGGAAAUAAGAAUAUGCAGAAGUUGAGAAUGCAUCACUAACAGAGAAGAGCAAGCCAAAUGCACCAUCUACUGUGCCAUUGAGAAGCAACCAAAAUCUUUCAUAUCUGAAACUGAGAAAACCAUUUAUGCUGUGGUCAACAAACCGUCAGCCAGAUCAUUCCUACACCCCUGACCAGCAGAAUGAUGAACUUACAGUCUAUGAAAAAGUUGACGAGAAUAUUAAGCCACAAAGGUCGCUAAAUAAAUUGGAGGAAUCAAAAAAUCCUUCCACAGUGUAUGAUACUGUAAGAGAACAUGGACCUCCUGAUGUUAUGAUGGAAACAAACCAGACUUCACCCAAUCAUGACUCAGUGAAUCAGUGCAACACUAACAGAGAAGAGCCAGCCAAAUGCAGCAGUCACU